CUGCAGCCCGAGUGGUGAUCGAUUUUAUUGAGCCUAGAGCGUCCGUAGCCGGACUAGUAAACCCUUGGGUAAAUUGGGCAGCUUAACUGUCCGAAUUCCGAGGGGACUGCUAGUCUUGGGACCGGGAGAGGUCAGAGGUACUCCAGGGGUAGGGGCUAAAUCCUGUAAUCCUUGGGGGACCACCAGUGGCGAAGGCGUCUGACUAGAACGGAUCCGACGGUAAGGGACGAAACCCUGGGGCGCGAACCGGAUUAGAUACCCGAGUAGUCC
rnacentral:rRNA from 1 species